rnacentral:rRNA from 1 species
AACGAACGCUGGCGGCAGGCCUAACACAUGCAAGUCGAACGCUCUCUUCGGAGGGAGUGGCAGACGGGUGAGUAACGCGUGGGAAUCUACCCAGUACUGCGGAAUAACACAGAGAAAUUUGUGCUAAUACCGCAUACGCCCUUCGGGGGAAAGAUUUAUCGGUAUUGGAUGAGCCCGCGUUUGAUUAGCUAGUUGGUGAGGUAAUGGCUCACCAAGGCGACGAUCAAUAGCUGGUCUGAGAGGAUGAUCAGCCACACUGGGACUGAGACACGGCCCAGACUCCUACGGGAGCAGCAGUGGGGAAUAUUGGACAAUGGGCGCAAGCCUGAUCCAGCCAUGCCGCGUGUGUGAUGACGGCCUUAGGGUUGUAAAGCACUUUCAACGGUGAAGAUAAUGACGGUAACCGUAGAAGAAGCCCCGGCUAACUUCGUGCCAGCAGCCGCGGUAAU